CCUACGGGCGGCAGCAGUGGGGAAUAUUGGACAAUGGGGGCAACCCUGAUCCAGCCAUGCCGCGUGUGUGAAGAAGGCCCUCGGGUUGUAAAGCACUUUCAGUGAGGAAGAACGCCUGGUGGUUAAUACCCAUCAGGAAAGACAUCACUCACAGAAGAAGUACCGGCUAACUCCGUGCCAGCAGCCGCGGUAAUACGGAGGGUGCGAGCGUUAAUCGGAAUUACUGGGCGUAAAGCGCGCGUAGGUGGCUUGAUAAGCCGGUUGUGAAAGCCCCGGGCUCAACCUGGGAACGGCAUCCGGAACUGUCAAGCUAGAGUGCAGGAGAGGAAGGUAGAAUUCCCGGUGUAGCGGUGAAAUGCGUAGAGAUCGGGAGGAAUACCAGUGGCGAAGGCGGCCUUCUGGACUGACACUGACACUGAGGUGCGAAAGCGUGGGUAGCAAACAGGAUUAGAUACCCUAGUAGUC
rnacentral:rRNA from 1 species